GGCCCGAUGGGUUUUCUNAUNGGAAUGAGAACACNGUAAACAGCUUAUCGAGGAGCCAGCAGAGGGCAAGUCUGGUGCCAGCAGCCGCGGUAAUUCCAGCUCUGUAAGCGUAUACCCAAGUUGUUGCAGUUAAAACGCUCGUAGUCGGAGGUUGGCGGGCGAGACGGGGCGUCUUCGCGGACGGACCUGGGUCGGCCGCCUUUGUGGAGGGGGGCACGGAUCAGCUUGAGUGCGGGCUCGUUGUCGCUGCCACCGUUUACUGUGAAAAAAUUAGAGUGUUCAAAGCGGGCGUUUGCCAUGAAUACCUUAGCAUGGAAUAAUAGAAUAGGACCUGUGUUCUGUUUUAUUGGUUUGUGAGGACCGGGUAAUGAUUAAGAGGGACGGUUGGGGGCAUUUGUAUUCCGGCGUCAGAGGUGAAAUUCUUGGAU
rnacentral:rRNA from 1 species